rnacentral:rRNA from 13 species
GGGUUAAGUCCCGCAACGAGCGUAACCCUUGUUUUUAGUUGCCUUUCGAGGAUAUUUAGAAAGACUGCCGAUUAUAAAUCGGAGGAAGGUAAGGACGACGUCAAGUCAUCAUGCCCCUUAUGUCCAGGGCUUCACGCAUGCUACAAUGGCUGGUACAGAGAGUGGCGAGCCUGUGAGGGUGAGCGAAUCUCGGAAAGCCGGUCUCAGUUCGGAUUGGGGUCUGCAACUCGACCCCAUGAAGUCGGAAUCGCUAGUAAUCGCGUAACAGCAUGACGCGGUGAAUACGUUCCCGGGCCUUGUACACACCGCCCGUCACACCAUGGGAGUUGGAUCUACCCGAAGAUUGUGAGCUAACUUCGGAGGCAGCAAGCCACGGUAGGUUCAGCGACUGGGGUGAAGUCGUAACAAGGUAGCCGUAGGGGAACCUGCGGCUGGAUCACCUCCUU